ACAAGCGCACAAGUCUGUGUAUGUAUGUGUGUGUGCAUGCAUGUGUGAGAGAGUGAGUUUUCAUACAAUGUCAUGAUGUAUUGUGCUGACGUCAGGUCGGGGUGGGAUGAUCUUUUUAUUGGCUUGAGCCCUUGCCUCUCAAAAUGUCUGUGCAUGCCCCUGCCAAGGAGAGAAUGUAAGGUUGUACACCCAAAGCGGUAAUAAGUUCCAACCAGUUUGAUUAAACACACCUGUGCAGAUGGGAAGUUUUUUUUGAAUGUGCACAGCUGUUUCAAGAAGGCAAAUUGGAAGGGCAUGGAAUCCCUUGCAGGACGCUGUUGCAACUUUCACCCCUUUUUGGAUUGUUGGAGAAUCGGCUUUGUUUAUUUUUUGUGGAACAACCUAUUCAAACGAAACAAAGUGAAACACCCCUGUAGGCCAGGACGGCACUCACUGGAGAGCAUAGACUGAGCUGGCCCUACAGUUACCGGAGGUAUUCUCCACUUUGGUUGUUCAGCCAGCUUCAUUCUUCUGGGCCAGAAGGCGCCUGGGGGGUUCAUGGCAUGGUAUGAGGAAAGACCUUCCUCAUCCAUGCACUGUCUGCACAUGGCGUCAAGCAAGCUCUCCACAUACAUUCUCAUCCCUUACCUCCCGCCUCCACGUGAGUCAGUAGAGGGAAGCCCACUCUGCUUCACCUUUAGUACAAGCAGUGGAUGAACUCCUGUUGGUUACGUUUCCACUACUGGAUGCAACAGAAACUUGUGCCCAGUGGCACCCUCCAGUGGCUCUGCAUUUUUAUGCACUUUUGCACUGUCGUCCAAAAUAUUUCCACUUAAUUAAAUAA